rnacentral:rRNA from 1 species
CAAUAGCGUAUAUUAAAGUUGUUGCGGUUAAAAAGCUCGUAGUUGGAUUUCUGCGUGGAGCUAUCGGUCAUCCCUUUGGGAUUGUAUCUGGUGUGCUUUGGGCAUCCUCCUGGGGAACGUUCCUGCACUUGACUGUGUGGUGCGGAAUCUAGGACUUUUACUUUGAGGAAAUUAGAGUGUUAACGGCAGGCUAUCGCCAGAAUACAUUAGCAUGGAAUAAUACUAUAGGAUCUCGGUUCUAUUUUGUUGGUUUCUAGAAUUGAGAUAAUGAUUAAUAGGGACAAUUGGGGGCGAUUCGUAUCAACACGUUAGAGGUGAAAUUCUUGGAUCGUGUUGCGACGAACUACUGCGAAAGCAUUUGCCAAGGAUGUUUUCAUUGAUCAAGAACGAAAGUAAGGGGAUCGAAGACGAUUAGAUACCAU